rnacentral:rRNA from 1 species
AGAGAUAGAGCUUUCCCCUUCGGGGGACAAAGUGACAGGUGGUGCAUGGUUGUCGUCAGCUCGUGUCGUGAGAUGUUGGGUUAAGUCCCGCAACGAGCGCAACCCUUAAGCUUAGUUGCCAUCAUUAAGUUGGGCACUCUAGGUUGACUGCCGGUGACAAACCGGAGGAAGGUGGGGAUGACGUCAAAUCAUCAUGCCCCUUAUGAUUUGGGCUACACACGUGCUACAAUGGACAAUACAAAGGGCAGCUAAACCGCGAGGUCAUGCAAAUCCCAUAAAGUUGUUCUCAGUUCGGAUUGUAGUCUGCAACUCGACUACAUGAAGCUGGAAUCGCUAGUAAUCGUAGAUCAGCAUGCUACGGUGAAUACGUUCCCGGGUCUUGUACACACCGCCCGUCACACCACGAGAGUUUGUAACACCCGAAGCCGGUGGAGUAACCAUUUAUGGAGCUAGCCGUCGAAGGUGGGACAAAUGAUUGGGGUGAAGUCGUAACAAGGUAGCCGUAUCGGAA